AGAGUUUGAUCCUGGCUCAGGACGAACGCUGGCGGCGUGCCUAACACAUGCAAGUCGAACGGACUAUUUGGAUUCGUCUGAAUAGUUAGUGGCGGACGGGUGAGUAACGCGUGAGCAACCUGCCUUUCGGAGGGGGACAACAGCUGGAAACGGCUGCUAAUACCGCAUAACGUACAUUGGGGACAUCCCCGAUGUACCAAAGAUUUAUCGCCGAAAGAUGGGCUCGCGUCUGAUUAGCUAGUUGGUGAGGUAACGGCUCACCAAGGCUGCGAUCAGUAGCCGGACUGAGAGGUUGAACGGCCACAUUGGGACUGAGAUACGGCCCAGACUCCUACGGGAGGCAGCAGUGGGGAAUAUUGCGCAAUGGGGGAAACCCUGACGCAGCAACGCCGCGUGAGUGAUGAAGGUCUUCGGAUUGUAAAACUCUGUCUUCAGGGACGAUAAUGACGGUACCUGAGGAGGAAGCCACGGCUAACUACGUGCCAGCAGCCGCGGUA
rnacentral:rRNA from 1 species